UAUAAGUUUAUUUUUCAGUUUUUAGAUACAACAUUUUGACUCUUCAUCUUAUUCAAAUUUUUUUGUGAUUAAUAUUUUUAUUGUACUACAUGAUAAAACAUGAAUAUUACUUUAUGUGUGUCUAUUUUUUUUAAAGUUUUUGCAUAAUUUUUUUAGAUGAGACGAAUGGUCUAACGUUGGACAAAGAAAAUUAAA
rnacentral:pre_miRNA from 1 species